rnacentral:rRNA from 1 species
GAUGAACGCUGGCGGCGUGCCUAAUCCUUCCAGUUCGGGCGAACAGCCAAGAACUUUGCUCCUCUACCUUAAGCGCCGGCCGGUUGGUUACCCCUUGGAAAACCUCCUUAUAAGCCUGGGUAAACUUCGGAAACCCGGGCCAAUUCCGGAUAAAUUUAUGAACCCCAAUGGUUCAUUGUUAAAAGAGGGUUUUCCGUUACUUAUUAAUUGAACCGCGCCGCAUUAGCUAGUUGGUAAGGUAACGGCUUACCAAGGCAACGAUGCGUAGCCAACCUGAGAGGGUGAUCGGCCACACUGGAACUGAGACACGGUCCAGACUCCUACGGGAGGCAGCAGUAGGGAAUCUUCCGCAAUGGGCGAAAGCCUGACGGAGCAACGCCGCGUGAGUGAUGAAGGUCUUCGGAUCGUAAAACUCUGUUAUUAGGGAAGAACAAAUGUGUAAGUAACUAUGCACGUCUUGACGGUACCUAAUCAGAAAGCCACGGCUAACUACGUG